rnacentral:rRNA from 1 species
GCCACAAAUCUAGCCCCCCCCCAAAUUAAUGCCUCACACCCCCAAACCCCACUCCAUAAAACAUUUUCUCAUCCUAGUAAAGGCGAUUAAAAACUUAAUAAGAGCUAUAGAAUCAGUACCGCAAGGGAAUAAUGAAAUAGUAAUGAAAUAAGCCUAAAGCACCUAAAAGCAGAGAC